UUUAGUAAAUAGUACAUUAGAUAUACCUAUACCCUUUAGACUAGAACACCAAGAGUGGAUCCCGUAGAGUACUACGGAUGCGUAGGGGUUCUAAUACCUUCCCUUCGCAUAAUCGACUCCCGAACCCUAGAUUUGGUUGCGAGACCUUGUCUUUUCCUUUUUCUUCAGGUUUUCUUCGAUCCUUUCCUUUCCCUCCUUUGGGAUAAAUAACUAACGGUGGAGACUCUUCUGUUUUCUUUUUC
rnacentral:lncRNA from 1 species